rnacentral:rRNA from 1 species
UGGGGAAUAUUGCACAAUGGGCGCAAGCCUGAUGCAGCCAUGCCGCGUGUAUGAAGAAGGCCUUCGGGUUGUAAAGUACUUUCAGCGGGGAGGAAGGUGUUGAGGUUAAUAACCUCAGCAAUUGACGUUACCCGCAGAAGAAGCACCGGCUAACUCCGUGCCAGCAGCCGCGGUAAUACGGAGGGUGCAAGCGGUAAUCGGAAUUACUGGGCGUAAAGCGCACGCAGGCGGUCUGUCAAGUCGGAUGUGAAAUCCCCGGGCUCAACCUGGGAACUGCAUUCGAAACUGGCAGGCUAGAGUAUUGUAGAGGGGGGUAGAAUUCCAGGUGUAGCGGUGAAAUGCGUAGAGAUCUGGAGGAAUACCGGUGGCGAAGGCGGCCCCCUGGACAAAGACUGACGCUCAGGUGCGAAAGCGUGGGGAGCAAACA